rnacentral:rRNA from 1 species
AUGUGGGCAACGCGUCCAUCUUCCUACUGGGAGAUCCAGCAGAAGCCUCUGCCGGAGGUGGCGUCCAUGGUGCGCAAAUUAAUUGAUGCGCCAGGGUAUGGAGACCGCUUCCAGGAGGUGGUUGACUGGGUGGAGCAGCACAAGUCCGGUGCCACCUACAUGGACGCGUCCAACAUUGGGCUGGGCUGCCGACGGUGGCCGUGA